AAGAGACAGCAGUCGCCACGGUAAUACAGAGGGUGCGAGCGUUAAUCGGAUUUACUGGGCGUAAAGCGUGCGUAGGCGGCUUUUUAAGUCGGAUGUGAAAUCCCUGAGCUUAACUUAGGAAUUGCAUUCGAUACUGGGAAGCUAGAGUAUGGGAGAGGAUGGUAGAAUUCCAGGUGUAGCGGUGAAAUGCGUAGAGAUCUGGAGGAAUACCGAUGGCGAAGGCAGCCAUCUGGCCUAAUACUGACGCUGAGGUACGAAAGCAUGGGGAGCAAACAGGAUUAGAUACCCGCGUAGUCCCUGUCUCUUAUAC
rnacentral:rRNA from 1 species